GGUAGAGGACCCAACCAGAUAUACCAGUUUUCAGCCAUCCCACAGUCAAGGAAACUGCCACCCAUUGCUGUUUUCUUCAGGGCGUCGCCCUGUCAGCAACAACUGGCGCCCAAUGUGGGGCAUGAAGAACCGGACCUGGUUCCUGACAGAAGAAUCGCUUGAACAACUGAGGUAUAGCAGCACUGGAACUUGGGUGGAGGUGACGGACGAACUCCAAUUUGGAUACCAGCCUGACGACUGAAGCCAUACCAUGGAGCCAACAAGAAAAAGAAAAUUCCUGUGGGACCUCGAGCCACCGAUGAUGCAGUUCCAGGGUCUGACACUGAAGACAACAGUGAUCGGGUCAACACCCUGAACUAGGGAAACCUGACACCCAACUUGGGGACAGAUAAAAAAGCUGUGUCGGGAUGCUGAAAAACAAGUUCAGCAAGCUCAGCUGCCUAUGACAGGUCCUAACCUGAUGGCAGCAAUGUUGGCUUUAAUUGCUAUUGCUGUGAGUAUAUCUCCGGCAUAUGCUCAUUCUGGAAAUAAUACCUAUUGGGCUUGCAUUCCUAAUCCUCCAUUGCUACAGCCUGUAGAAUGGGAUCAUCCCUCUCCCACUGUAUAUUUUAGCAAUGGUACUUGGCUGCCUCCUCCAAUUGAUGAAAGACUUCCUCAGUUUCCUGAGGAGGAAGGAAAGAACUAUUCUCAACCAUUAGCUUUUACACAUUUACCUUUGUGUGUGGGACAGGGUGAAGGAUGCCUGGCCCUGACUUGGCAAGCAUGGUUAUCAGUCAUACCCAAGUGAGAUAAUGUCUCCAAAGCAUCCCUGUUCCUAAUAUCUGGCUAUAGUUUUGCCUACAAUGAAAAUAUUACUAUUCAGGACCAUGCUCCACAACACCCUAUUUGUUACAUACCAAAACACUGGUCACCAGAAAUGCAAAGAGUAUAUUGGGAUAAUUGUAGAGCAGUUAGUGGAGUGUUAGUGCAGAAUGGUUCCUAUGGAAUUGUAACUGACUGGUCCCCUAAGGGGUAUACAGUUCAGAAUUGCACUAAUGCAAAGUGAUCUGAUUAUAAUAGACUAAAAUGGGAAGUUCAUAAUUAUAAUCAUUCUUAUAGUAUUCAAACCUGGCAAGAUAUCCUAUUAUUUGGCACGGUGUUGGCUGAUCCCCACCCAAACCUACUUUAAAUAAUUCCUAUGUUCAAGAUACACUUUGGAGGCUCCCUAUUAGUUUGCAUAACAUUUCCAGAUGGAAUGGGAAUUAUACAAUUAAGAUUAAUUAUACUCUAAAUUUUACAAAAAUAGAUACUUUUGGAAUACAAGCCUGUGUUAGAGAUCCUUGUCUUUUGGGUAGGAAAUCUCACUAUUAAUAUUAUUACUAAGGAAAUCAACUGUAUGGAGAAUAGAAGUUGUUCACUUUAUACUUGCUUGAAUAACACCACAGACUCUAAAAAUAUUACUAUUGUAAUUCUUAGACAACACAAAGGCCUGUGGCUCCCUGUUUCACAGCACAGAUUUUGGGAAUCGUCACCUGAUAUGCAUAUGUUACUACAAAUUUUAGAAAAAGUAUAUAAAAGAACAAAGUGAUUUCUUGGACUGUUAAUAGUGUUUCUGAUUGGCAUAAUAGCUAUUGCAACCACAGCUGCUGUUGCAGGAACAGCUCUACAUCAAUCUAUUCAAACUACAGCAUUUGUUCAAAAAUGGCAUAGAAAUGUGAGUAAAGCAUGGGAGGAACAGUUACAAAUUGACAAAGAAGUUAAUGUUCAUCUUGUAGAUCUAGAGAAUGCUGUUCUCCUUGUAGGGGAGGAAGUUGAGAACUUCAGAUACCGGUUUAAGUUACAGUGUGAUCGGAAUACAUCAACAUUUUGUGUCACUCCCCAUAAAUAUAACGACACCCAUUUUACAUGGGAUAGAGUCAAGAGACAUUUAAUCGGACAUCAUGGUAAUCUUACCAUGGAUAUUUUAAAAUUGCAAGAAACAGUAGAUAAUAUCCAAAAUGCUAACCUUAGUGUUCUAUCACAAUCGGAGACAAUGCAAGGUAUUGCUGAUGGCUGUGAAAAAUUAAAUCCUAUAGUAUGGGUUAAAUCCCUUGGUGGUGGGUUCCUGGGUAGUAUUCUCCUAAUUUUGUUAAUCAUCUUAUGUCUUUGUUUAGUCCUCAGAUGCACAAGAAAAACCCUCUCAGAUCUAAAGCAGAAAGAAGCUGCUUGGUCCAUCCUGUCUGCAUUGAAGAAACAAAAAGGGGGACAUGUGGGGAACCAAGCUGUUCAUGUCACUUAGACCAUGUCUGGGGUGGUGACCUGGAAUGCUGGGUCACAAGCUCGCAUGGAACACCAUUGUAGGCAUGCCCUGUAAAGAUGUGUGUCUUGUGACUAUGACAGCAGUGUUAACCAUUGACUCCAGAUUGUUUCUUCUUAUCCACAGCAGGAUGUAAAGAUUAAUAACUGAGAGACACUGAAUGCUUUUGAUCACGUAAUGUAGUUUAGCUUUGUUUAAUAAAUGAAUAAAUAACUGGAGCACAGGUGCAUCAGCACCCACUUGGCACACGAUGCUCUGGGUCCCCUGGUCCUUUAAAUCAUAACUUUGUGUCUGUCUCAUUUCAGCAUCACCCUGUCAGCAACACACCACAAGAAAGGAGGAAAGAUAAAGACUGGGACUGUGUAACUUGGUGAAAUCUAGAGUAUUCAACAAUUGUGAUAAAAUGUACAAAUAUGUUAUUUUAUGA